AGAGUUUGAUCCUGGCUCAGAACGAACGCUGGCGGCAGGCUUAACACAUGCAAGUUGAACGGGAUUUGUGUGGUGCUUGCACCAUAUAAUGAGAGUAGCGCACUGGUGAGUAACACGUGGGAACGUGCCUUUUAGUGGGGGAUAACAUCUGGAAACGGAUGCUAAUACCGCAUACGCCCUGAGGGGGAAAGAUUUAUUGCUAAGAGGUCGGCCCGCGGUAGAUUAGGCAGUUGGUGGGGUAAAGGCCUACCAAACCUACGAUCUAUAGCUGGUCUGAGAGGACGAUCAGCCACAUUGGAACUGAGACACGGUCCAGACUCCUACGGGAGGCAGCAGUGAGGAAUAUUGGGCAAUGGAGGCAACUCUGACCCAGCCAUGCCGCGUGAGUGAGAAGGUUUUCGAAUUGUAAAGCUCUUUCGGGUGUGAAGAUGAUGACGGUAACACCAGAAGAAGCCCCGGCAAACUUCGUGCCAGCAGCCGCGGUAAUACGAAGGGGGCGAGCGUUGUUCGGAAUUACUGGGCGUAAAGGGUGUGUAGGCGGUUAAGUAAGAUAGUGGUGAAAUGCCGGGGCUCAACCUCGGAAUUGCCAUUAUGACUAUUUAGCUAGAAUGAUGCAGAGGAUAGCGGAAUACCCAGUGUAGAGGUGAAAUUCGUAGAUAUUGGGUAGAACACCAGAGGCGAAGGCGGCUAUCUGGGCAUUGAUUGACGCUGAGGCACGAAAGCAUGGGGAUCAAACAGGAUUAGAUACCCUGGUAGUCCACGCAGUAAACGAUGAUUA
rnacentral:rRNA from 1 species